UUUUAAACUCCUGAAAUGAUCUCAGAAAAUACCAAUCAUAUAUCUCAGAGACGCACGUUUUUUCAGGGAUGAAUGAGUGUUAGCCAUCCCUCUGUGUCUCUGAGAUAAAUGGUGUAUUUUAUAAUGAUUUAUUUACACACUAAGUUUGAAGGUGUAACAAAAUUAUUACCAAUUAUUGUGAUUUUUUAAAAUAUUUGGGGGUGGAUGACACCCCUUCAUCCUCUCUAGACACGUGUGUCUGAAUGAAUGUUAUUUGUAGAAGAAAUAUAUGAUUACAUGUGUUUUUAUGUACAAAUACAUAUGUUCAUCAAUGAUCAUAGAUAUCAACUUUUCACUAAUGAAGAAUGUUAAUUUUUUGUAGUUGUGUAGCCCAGGAUCAUAGCUACGCAAAACCCAACGAUAGCACUGACGCUAUUGCUAAAAAUGUUUUUUCAAGAUGACUAUGAUAUAAAAUAUACGUAAAAAUAUAAUAUCAGACGGUUUUUGUUUAUUCAUUUCAUAUUUGGAAUGUUUUUUUUAGAAUUGCUAAUGAGGAACCCAGGUCCACUAUAAUGUCAAACGUGUUGGUUCCAUUGUCAUUUUCCCAAGAUGAUGAAGACGUUGUAGUGUAUGUAACUGGAACGUAUAUUACUGACAUGAUUUUUUUUCCUUUAGCGAGUCCAUGAUUGAAGAUGUACCCGAGUUCCCAACCAUGAUGAAUGAUUAUUCAAAUAUUUCCAGCAGCAUUUCAUUGGCAAAUACGAACGAAUUUUCAUUAAAUGAUUCUGUUCAUGAUGAUCAUUUAUUGAAUGAUUUCUCUUUCAUGAGUCAAGAAGAAUAUGAUGAAAUUAAUUCACAUAAAGACAUAAGGUGAUAAAGAUGUUCGUGUCCAACUAAAUGAUGGUUAUGUUUGGGCAACAUUAUCUGUAGGUAGUACUUAUAAAACAAUGACGGAAUUUUUAAGUAAACUGAAUAUACCUCCUCUGUCUUUCAAAAUGUACCACACUUUGGAAGAACAGCUUGCUGAAGAUUGGAAGAAGGUGCUUUGGAAAAGCUUAGAAGAUGCUGGAGCUGAAGAGAGACGUAAUGCUGUGGCUACUAAUAAUGUAGAUCAUAAUGGAAUUCAAUAAUGGAGAUCACAAUAACUGUCAGCCUUCUUAUUGUGAAAACAUUGGGGACGUUAGUAAUAAAAUUGCCCAAAUGCAAAUAUCUGGCAUUUUCAAUCACAUAACGAAUGUAUUACAGCAAAUUGUGGUAAGCCAGGGCCACAAACUGAUUGAAAAUGAGACAAACAAUAGAGCCGAGAUGUUCAUGUCGUUGCUCUGCAAGUUUAACGCUGGCAAGCGGUUAAACACAAUUCAAAAAGGUUCUCUACAAGCAAGAGCUUAUUUGUCUGGUCUUCACUACAAUAAAGGUGCCGAUUGGCAAAGCACAACUUGGGCGGCCAUAACAAAAACAUCACCAGGGUCUGAAUUCCAGAAGUACCUGAACCAAACUAAGAAUCGUCAUGAAUAUGACAUGGUCCGUAAAGUUCAGAUGAAGAUCAAGACGCCAAAAAAGAAAAAAACCAAAAAGGGAUGCAAAGAAGCUUCAGGUUAUGGUCCAGCUGCCAUAAAAGGGUCUCUCACAGAAGAAGAGUUUAUGUCUGAAAGAAGGUAACACCUGCUGAUGCUCUUGAAAUUGAGCAGAAAACAAUUGGCCAAUGGGGAAAUAAAUUGUACGAACAAUACCGCAUGGACAGACUAACAGCUUCAAAUUUUGUAGGUAAGUAUACAAAAGAAGGCCAUCCACUGUUCCAAACAAAUUGGUACGAAGAAUUUUGUAUCCCACCAAUAUAAGGACUCAAGUCAAAGAAGCAGUGGCUCGUGAAAGAUUCGCUCAUGAGACCCAAAUCAAAGUCAAGGAAUGUGAAAUUUUUAUUGACUCAAAUUUUAAUUAUCUUGGAGCUACCCCUGAUGCGGUGACUGACAAUGGUGCUAUACUCGAAAUAAAGUGUCUGCAUAAAGUCCACAAAUCGGGGAAAACACUGGCUGAAGCAAUUAAAUCUGAUAAGACUUUAUAUAUGGAGAUAAUAUUUGAGGAAGGGAAAGAAGUUAUAAGGCUCAAAAAAACGCAUCUGUACUAUUACCAGGUUCAAGGGCAACUUAAUAUUUGUAAGAAGGAUUUGUGCUACUUUCUUGUAUAUAUUAAUGAUGAACAACCGCUUCAUAUCGAGACUAUCAAAAGAGAUGAAAACCUUUGGCACCAUAUGACUCCAAAACUCACCGAUUUCUAUGAAAAACAUAUGAUCCCGGAAUUAGUUAAAAAAUAUUCAUUACACUAAAAUUUUCUUACAUCAUUCAUGGCUUUUAACUACUCUUCAGUUUUUUAUGAGCAACAUCUAAUUGCAGCACCAGAAAAAUCUUUUUGCUUACAGUUUCCUCAUAAAUUUGAGCCGCACCUCUCAAAUUUGAUUUGCCAACAUAGAAUUUUGCACUAGAAAAAUUCAUUCAUCUCUCUCACAUUUCUCCAUCAAUUUGAGCUGCACCUCUCAAAUUUGAUUUGCCAACAUAGAAUUUUGCACUAGAAAAAUUCAUUUAUCUCUCUAACAGGAGUUUUCCUAUAAAUUUGAGCUACACUUCUCAAUUUUUAUUGGCCAACAUAGGAUUCCAACACUAGAAAAAUGCAUUCAUCUUUCUGAAAGGAGAUUUUCCACAUUGUUGAAGAACAGUAGAAGGCUUGAUGAAGGCAACACACAAUUCAAUCUCAAUAUUAGUAUCGAGUGUAUUCAUCACAUGAAGAGGCCCAUGAAACAGAAAGCAUUGCAUCACUUGUGCUUUUAAACAUUUUGAAUGAUCAUGUUUACCCAAUAAUAAUUGU